rnacentral:rRNA from 1 species
GUUAGGAAUAUUGGACAAUGGGCGCAAGCCUGAUCCAGCAAUGCCGCGUGAGUGAUGAAGGCCUUAGGGUUGUAAAGCUCUUUCACCGGGGAAGAUAAUGACGGUACCCGGAGAAGAAGCCCCGGCUAACUCCGUGCUAGCAGCCGCGGUAAUACGGAGGGGGCUAGCGUUGUUCGGAAUUACUGGGCGUAAAGCGCGCGUAGGCGGCAUGACAAGUUGGAGGUGAAAGCCCGGAGCUCAACUUCGGAAUGGCCUUCAAGACUGUCUCGCUCGAGGCAGGGAGAGGAGAGCGGAAUACCCAGUGUAGAGGUGAAAUUCGUAGAUAUUGGGUGGAACACCGGUGGCGAAGGCGGCUCUCUGGCCCUGAUCUGACGCUAAGGCGCGAAAGCGUGGGGAGCAAACAGGAUUAGAUACCCUUGUAGUCC